CCUACGGGUGGCAGCAGUGAGGAAUAUUGGUCAAUGGACGAGACUCUGAACCAGCCAAGUCGCGUGAAGGAUGACUGCCCUAUGGGUUGUAAACUUCUUUUAUAAAGGAAUAAAACGCGGCACGUGUGCCUUUUUGCCUGUACUUUAUGAAUACGGAUCGGCAAACUCUGUGCCAGCAGCCGCGGUAAUACGGAGGAUCUGGGCGUGAUCCGGAUUUAUUGGGUUUAAGGGGUGGGUAGGCGGGCUGUUAAGUCUGCGGUAAAAGCCCGGGGUUCAACCCCGGCGAGCCGUUGAAACUGGCUGUCUUGAGAUGGCGAGAGGUAUGCGGAAUGCGCAGUGUAGCGGUGAAAUGCGUAGAUAUUGCGCAGAACUCCGAUUGCGAAGGCAGCAUACCGGCGGCGAUCUGACGCUGAGGCACGAAAGCGUGGGUAUCGAACAGGAUUAGAUACCCUAGUAGUC
rnacentral:rRNA from 1 species